rnacentral:rRNA from 1 species
AUGGACCCGUCCAGCGCCGGCCUCUGGGCCCGCCUCCGCCGCAUGGUGCUCCGCCUGGGGUGUCCAUGUGGCGAGGAGCACGACCUGGCCAUCAGGAUCCGCGACCUCAAGGCCCGCGUCAAGGACAUCGGCGAGAGACGGGAGCGCUACCAAGUCAGCAUCCCCAAGCUCAAGGAAGAGGAAGCGACGCCCCCGCUGACGCCGGCCGAGGCCCAAGCAAGCCAGGACAAGAUCGACGAGGCCAGAGAAGAAUUUGUACGUGCGCUGGCACGUGACCAAGAGAAACAGGAGAAGAAGAACGAGGCCAUCGGUCUCGUUACUCAAUUUGUACGUGCGUUGGCACGUGACAAGGAAAAGCAGCAGAAGAAGGAGCUCGUCCCAUGUUUUGACGAGGCCAUCCGUCUCCUCCCUUUUAAGGAUCUUCAAUCGGCGGCCACCAAAGUACGUGAUUGCCUCCUUCAAAAUUUGUCGACCGAGGAGAGUGCGGCCAUCUGCAUGGAGAUGCUCCUCCGUGCUCUUCGGGAUCAUAGCCAUGCCCGCCCGGCGGUCCAGAAGACCAAGAAAGAACUGAUGAAAUUAGUGGAUGAAGCGGACACGGACAUCCAAGAUUUUCCCACUCAAGUCAUGAUCUUCUGCUACAGCAAGCUGUCCAGGAGCUACAAGAGCUGCUUGCAGUAUCUCUAUGCCUUCCGCCAUGAAGCCGCCAUCAGCAGGACGAGCUUGGUCAGGCGAUGGCUCGCCGAAGGCCGCGUGGAGAAGCAAGCAGGUUUUGAUGGUACCCUCGAGGAGGCAGCGGAGCUCUGCUUCAAAGAUCUCCUCUUCCGGGGGUUCCUUCUUCCUGUCGACGACCCAGCCACCGCUUCCAGCAAGGUCAAGACCUUCACAAUUGACGACACCGUCUGGCGCUUCCUCUAUCGCAUGUCCACAACGGAGAACUUUGUGGACAACCUGCCGACUCACCUCGAAAACCAGCUUCGCAUCCGGAAAUUUGUGAAACGGCAAGAGGAGCAUCAGAAGAAUCAUCCACGACCACGCCACCCGUGGAGCAUCUGUGGCCGUUGGACGAGGCCUCCGCCGGAUGACAGCAUGGUGGCAGAUCCCGAUCCCAUGGAUGCCAUGAUAAACUUCCUCAAGUCUCUCGGCCAAACCUACCGGCUAAAUGUGCUGGAUCUUGGGGGUUGCAAGGGUCUAAAGACGAGCCACCUCAAGAGCAUCUGCAACAUGGUCUCGCUCAAGUACCUCAGCAUCCGGAACACGGACGUCUCCCGCCUACCCCCAGAGGUCAGCCAUCUCAUACUGCUGGAGACGCUCGACAUCCGGCAAACUAAGGUAUGGGGCCCAGACAUGAAGCACAUUUACCUCCGAAAGCUAAAGCACCUGCUCACCGGCCCGAAGAUGACGACGGAGGAGGAGACAAUCCGCGGGGCAGGGAUGCCUCGCUUGAUCGGAAAGAUGGAAGACAUGGAGAUACUGUCCCGGGUCCAGGUUGAACACGGCAUGAAGGAACUCGAAGAAGUUGGCCGCCUGCUGAAGCUUAGGAAGCUGGGCGUGGUUCUCAUUGGCAGCCAAAGCCAAGCUCAAGACAACAUGGCCAGUCUGCUCCGAGUAAUGACCAAGUUGAGAGAUUGCUUACGCUCUCUCUCAAUAUGGGUCACUCCGCCACCCACAAAUGGCGACCCUAGUGUCACUGUGAAUAUGGUGAUGACACAAGAUUAUGCCCCCAAGUUACUUGAGAGCCUGGAUAUCAGGGGCGUGCGCUUUCUCAACACCGGGUUGCCUCACUGGAUCUGGGCGCUGCAAGAACUCUGUGAGAUUACACUGUGUGACACCUUUCUGUCUAAAGUCUCUCUGCAGGACCUUGGCAACAAGCUCCAUCACUUGCGCCGCCUUCGGCUCCUUCGCAACUCGUACAACGAGCCAAAGCUCACUUUCAGCAAGGAUGGUUUCCAAGACCUCAGGUUCCUCAUCGUCGAGGGCAACACCAUCACCACCGUCAGCAUUGAACAAGGUGGCGCAGCCCCUUUGCUCAAGAAGAUCGUUUGGCACAACAUGGCCAUCAAUCAGGCGGGCAAACUUUCUGGAAUUCACCACCUUAAGAGGCUGCAAGAGGUGGUGCUCAAGGGCAACUUCACCAACCCGAGCUCCAUUCCACACAACGAUGGGUGCAAAAUAACUGAGGCAUGA